AUGUGAGGGUGAUCUGGCUGUGACAUCUGUCACCCCAUUGAUCGCCAGAGUUGACUUGGCUGAUCUGAUUGGCUAGGCCGGUGUCCCUUUUCUCCAUCACGGCUACAUGUGCAUCCCUCCCGAAGGAAGCUGCGCACUCGGUCAAAGAGGGUCAAAGAGGACGGCCUUCCCCGAAUAGAGACAGACCGGUCUUUGGUGGAGGCUAUACGAGUAGCUGCACUCCCCUGCUAGAACCUCCAAACAAGGUCUCAAAUUUUAAAAAUAGAUCAAUAAGUUUUUUUAAUGGGACCAUAUAUAGUACUGGGGAUCAAACCCAGGUCAGCUGCAUGCAAGACAAGCACCUU
rnacentral:snRNA from 1 species